rnacentral:rRNA from 1 species
GUCUAAGUACUAGCCAACUUAAAGAAUGGUGAAACCGCGAAAAGCUCAUUAAAUCGGCUUUGGUUCCUUAGAUAGUUUGCAGAUUGGAGUUAUUUUCGGAGCGCUGUUGCGUUUUGAAAAGAACAAAAUUCUGAAAUGGAUAACUGUGGUAAUUCUAGAGCUAAUACAUGAAAAAUUUCGGUGUGAAAUUUCGCGACAAAUUAGCACUUUUGCUGUUUUGUUGCGUAAAAUUUUGCACGCUUUUAUUAGAGAAAAAAGCCAAUUUUAUAAACGUUUUGCAUGUGUGCGCACGUACGCACGCACGCAGACUUGUACGCGCGCACAUUCGUGUGCGUUACAAUGUCGCGUCGUCGUCGUCGUUGUCGUCACGUUAUGCGAAUAAAUACAAUCGUAAAAAUCGGUGUUGAAUCUGAAUAACUUGAAACGGUUUUCUUUGAAAGAAUUCUUUUUCUAUUUGCUUAGAAAGGAAUUUGAACUAGGAGAAGAUUUAAAGCAGACCGCAUUUUUAAGCUACGAACGCGUUAAAUCGCCAUCGGUAUUUUUCCAGUUAAAAAAAUGGACGAAAAGAACCGAUCGUUUGCGAUUAGUGUUCGUAGCGAUUGCGG